rnacentral:rRNA from 1 species
GACGAACCGUGCGAACGUUGUUCGGAUUCACUGGGCUUAAAGGGCGCGUAGGCGGGUGGCCAAGUCGGGGGUGAAAUCCUUCAGCUUAACUGAAGAAUAGCCUUCGAUACUGGUCGUCUGGAGGGGGGUAGGGGCGGACGGAACUUCCGGUGGAGCGGUGAAAUGCGUAGAUAUCGGAAGGAACGCCGGCGGCGAAAGCGGUCCGCUGGACCCCCACUGACGCUGAGGCGCGAAAGCCAGGGGAG